AGUUGGUUGGCUUCCAACUGUUAAGAGCUCUCUGGGAGUUAACCUUCGCCUGGAGAGGUUGGUUGGUUCCUGAUCUCUGGAGUUACUCUGCAAAACUAGGAAAACCAGAGUGGCAGUUAAGAGUGGAGGCAGGUUGGAGCGUGGGAGUUAAGUGGUGAAGAAGACCAGAAAAGAAGAAGGAAAGUGAAGCUUCUUAUCAUCUGUGUGGUUCAAGAGUAGAGGCAGGCUUUUUAGGCCUACCAAGGCCCAGAAAUUUGACUAGGCCCAGAAAGAACUGAAGUGAGCUGACACAAUCAAAGGAGACAGUUACUUAAGUCUCCAUAGGGUUACUGUCGGCCAUUUUUAAUAGGCCAAACCUGUUACCUCAACUGUUACCCGCAACUGGCAGCCAACUGAUUUAACAGCAGCAAGAACCAAACUCUAAAGAAGAUACAAUAUAUCACUAGCUUAUCUACCAAAAUACUCCAACAGUCUAGACAACUCAUUUUAACCGAAUGCUUCUAUCAAUGUAUCUAGACUAUUUCAAUGAGGAAGGCUCAAAAUGUAUUUGAAAGAACAGUAAAUAAUCAACUGCCACACAUCAAAUUUGACAACUCAGCAUAGAAUAUCACCGGCUGGGAGGAUGUGUUUGUAAAAAUGCCCCAAAUGAAAUGUUAACAACCCAAAGAAGCAAAAACCCAGGGACUCAACUCACAAUAAACUCUAAUCUCUUUACA